AUGAAAGCAGGACCACAAAACCAGAGGGCUGCAAGGAGCAAUGUAGACCUUCCUCAGAAAACCCUGAAUCUGCACAAAUGGCCACCGAUCCAAUAUCCUAAGAAUGAAGGAGUAAGUUCGGGUACUUUGCAAGCUCCUACCACAGGGACAGCUGUCCCAGCCCCAGUGGAUACUCCACAGAGUGUAACUGAGAAAGACCUCGCAAAGGUUCCUAGGAAAAAGCCACUCCCGCAAGCAAGACCACUGCAGUCGAAACCAGUCAAACCCAGUCGCCCUCCUGUAGUGGACCUAGAGAAGUUCAGGAAGGCCCGAGCACAUGCUUCUCCUAUACCAAAGCCACAGAGAGAUGUGCGGCAUGGUUACUCGAAGCCAGAUCCUGCUUCCUUUGGACCAGUUCUACCUAAAGCUGCUCCAUUUCCUCAUGUCUCAAGUUUAGCACGAGAACAAGAUGAGAUAUACGAUGAUGUAGAACCAGUUGGGCCAGUCAACAAGGGCAAACAGCUCCUAUUAUUCCCCAAUUCCCAGCCCACAGCCUCUUUCCAUUCUGGACAAGGUGGAAGGACUGGUCUGAUCCCUGGCAGAUUUCCUCCAGACUUCGCCACACUGAGAAAAUCCCAUAUUUCAAAACAAAGAAGGGAAAAUGUGAAGAAUCUCAA
rnacentral:lncRNA from 1 species